CAAGCCUAGUAAGACAACUGAACGGCUUGCGCUUAAGCCUACUGGCAAUGAAGUCAGCUGUUACAAGUCAGCACAAAAGGUGAGUAAGCA
rnacentral:ribozyme from 1 species